rnacentral:rRNA from 1 species
GACGUAGGGGGCCAGCGUUGUUCGGAAUUACUGGGUGUAAAGGGUUCGUAGGCGGUGUAGCAAGUCGGGAGUGAAAUCUCUGGGCUUAACCCAGAGGCUGCUUCCGAAACUGCUGUGCUUGAGUGUGGGAGAGGCGCGUGGAAUUGCAGGUGUAGCGGUGAAAUGCGUAGAUAUCUGCAGGAACACCCGUGGCGAAAGCGGCGCGCUGGACCACUACUGACGCUGAGGAACGAAAGCGUGGGGAGCAAACAGG